rnacentral:rRNA from 1 species
GUAGGUGGCAAGCGUUGUCCGGAAUUAUUGGGCGUAAAGCGCGCGCAGGCGGUUCUUUAAGUCUGAUGUGAAAGCCCACGGCUCAGCCGUGGAGGGUCAUCGGAAACUGGAGAACUUGAGUACAGAAGAGGAAAGCGGAAUUCCACGUGUAGCGGUGAAAUGCGUAGAGAUGUGGAGGAACACCAGUGGCGAAGGCGGCUUUCUGGUCUGUAACUGACGCUGAGGCGCGAAAGCGUGGGGAGCAAACAGGAUUAGAUACCCUGGUAGUCCACGCCGUAAACGAUGAGUGCUAAGUGUUAGGGGGUUUUCCGCCCCCCUUAGUGCUGCAGCUAACGCAUUAAGCACUCCGCCUGGGAGCACGGCCGCAAGGCUG